ACCCAGACUCCUACGGGAGGCAGCAGUGGGGAAUAUUGCACAAUGGGGGAAACCCUGAUGCAGCAACGCCGCGUGAGUGAGGAAGUAUUUCGGUAUGUAAAGCUCUAUCAGCAGGGAAUAGAAAAGAAGGUACCUGAAAAAGAAGCCCCGGCUAACUACGUGCCAGCAGCCGCGGUAAUACGUAGGGGGCAAGCGUUAUCCGGAUCUACUGGGUGUAAAGGGAGCGUAGACGGUUGUGCAAGUCUGAAGUGAAAGCCCGCGGCUCAACUGCGGAACGGCUUUGGAAACUGGCGCGCUGGAGUGCCGGAGGGGUAGGCGGAAUUCCUAGUGUAGCGGUGAAAUGCGUAGAUAUUAGGAGGAACACCAGUGGCGAAGGCGGCCUACUGGACGGUGACUGACGCUGAGGCUCGAAAGCGUGGGGAGCAAACAGGAUUAGAUACCCGAGUAAC
rnacentral:rRNA from 1 species